GAGAGAGAGAGAGAGAGAGAGAAAUAGAGAGAGAGAGAGAGUUGAAGAGAGAGAGAGAGAGAGAGAGAGAAAAACUGUUAACCUCUGCACCUCGCCUUCCAUAGUCACUGCCAAGCAGUGGCUGUCCCCACAAGCAAUUUGCUUUAUCCUUAAAC